UACGGAGGGUGCAAGCAUUAAUCGGAUUUAUUGGGCGUAGAGGGCGCGUAGGCUGGUCUUUAAGUCAGAUGUGAAAUCCCGAGGCUCAACCUCGGAACAGCAUUUGAAACUGAAGAUCUAGAGGGUAGAAGGAGAGAAUGGAAUUCCACAAGUAGCGGUGAAAUGCGUAGAUAUGUGGAAGAACACCGGUGGCGAAGGCGAUUCUCUAUUUUAUUCCUGACGCUGAGGCGCGAAAGUAAGGGGAUCAAACAGG
rnacentral:rRNA from 1 species